rnacentral:rRNA from 1 species
GAUACCCUAUUAUACUAAAAGGAUUGAUAAAUUGACCAGAUUAUUAAUAGAUAUGUUCUUUAAAUUUAAAGAAUUUGGCGGUGAUUUAGUCUUGUCAGAGGAACCUGUUUUUGAAUCGAUACACCACGCAGAAUCUUACUCACUUUUGUUAAAAGAAUAUGUUAUAACAGCCUAUAUACCAUCAUUAGCAGAUAAUUUUAAAAGAAAUAAUUAUUGCAAUUUAUGUAGUUAAAUUAAAUUAGAUCAAGGUGUAGCUUAUAAGUGAGUUAAAAUGGGUUACAAUAAAAUUUAUUUAUUACGUAAUAAUUAGAGAAUGACUAAUUAAAAGGAGGAUUUGAUUGUAAUGUAAGUUUAAUAUGCUUAAGAGAUAUUAGCUCUAAAUCAUGUACAU